GAUGAACGCUGGCGGCGUGCCUAAUACAUGCAAGUCGAGCGAAUGGAUUAAGAGCUUGCUCUUAUGAAGUUAGCGGCGGACGGGUGAGUAACACGUGGGUAACCUGCCCAUAAGACUGGGAUAACUCCGGGAAACCGGGGCUAAUACCGGAUAACAUUUUGAACCGCAUGGUUCGAAAUUGAAAGGCGGCUUCGGCUGUCGCUUAUGGAUGGACCCGCGUCGCAUUAGCUAGUUGGUGAGGUAACGGCUCACCAAGGAAACGAUGCGUAGCCGACCUGAGAGGGUGAUCGGCCACACUGGGACUGAGACACGGCCCAGACUCCUACGGGAGGCAGCAGUAGGGAAUCUUCCGCAAUGGACGAAAGUCUGACGGAGCAACGCCGCGUGAGUGAUGAAGGCUUUCGGGUCGUAAAACUCUGUUGUUAGGGAAGAACAAGUGCUAGUUGAAUAAGCUGGCACCUUGACGGUACCUAACCAGGAAGCCACGGCUAACUACGUGCCAGCCGCCGCAGUAA
rnacentral:rRNA from 1 species